rnacentral:rRNA from 1 species
GACGAACGCUGGCGGCGUGCCUAAUACAUGCAAGUAGAACGCUGACGGAGGAGCUUGCUUCUCUGGAUGAGUUGCGAACGGGUGAGUAACGCGUAGGUAACCUGCCUGGUAGCGGGGGAUAACUAUUGGAAACGAUAGCUAAUACCGCAUAAUAGUAGAUGUCGCAUGACAUUUGCUUAAAAGGUGCAAUUGCAUCACUACCAGAUGGACCUGCGUUGUAUUAGCUAGUUGGUGAGGUAACGGCUCACCAAGGCAACGAUACAUAGCCGACCUGAGAGGGUGAGCGGCCACACUGGGACUGAGACACGGCCCAGACUCCUACGGGAGGCAGCAGUAGGGAAUCUUCGGCAAUGGACGGAAGUCUGACCGAGCAACGCCGCGUGAGUGAAGAAGGUUUUCGGAUCGUAAAGCUCUGUUGUAAGAGAAGAACGAGUGUGAGAGUGGAAAGUUCACACUGUGACGGUAUCUGACCAGAAAGGGACGGCUAACUACGUG